GAUGAACGCUAGCGACAGGCCUAACACAUGCAAGUCGAGGGGCAGCAUGGUAUCAGCUUGCUGAUACCGAUGGCGACCGGCGCACGGGUGAGUAACGCGUAUGUAAUCUGCCUGUAACAGAGGGAUAACCCGGAGAAAUCCGGCCUAAUACCUCAUAGCACAUAUUAUUCGCAUGAGUUUUAUGUUAAAGAGACUCGGUUACAGAUGAACAUGCGUUCCAUUAGCUGGUUGGUGAGGUAACGGCCCACCAAGGCGACGAUCAGUAGCCGACCUGAGAGGGUGACCGGCCACAUUGGGACUGAGACACGGUCCAAACUCCUACGGGAGGCAGCAGUGGGGAAUAUUGCACAAUGGGGGAAACCCUGAUGCAGCGACGCCGCGUGAGCGAAGAAGUAUUUCGGUAUGUAAAGCUCUAUCAGCAGGGAAGAAGAAAUGACGGUACCUGACUAAGAAGCACCGGCUAAAUACGUGCCAGC
rnacentral:rRNA from 1 species